rnacentral:rRNA from 1 species
UACGUAGGGGGCAAGCGUUAUCCGGAUUUACUGGGUGUAAAGGGAGCGUAGGUGGUAUGAUAAGUCAGAUGUGAAAGCCCGGGGCUCAACCCCGGGACUGCAUUUGAAGUUAUCAAACUAGAGUGCAGGAGAGGUAAGUGGAAUUCCUAGUGUAGCGGUGAAAUGCGUAGAUAUUAGGAGGAACACCAGUGGCGAAGGCGACUUACUGGACUGUAACUGACACUGAGGCUCGAAAGCGUGGGGAGCAAACAGG